GGGAAUUCAGGAAAGCAGAAUUUUUAAACAUGACAAUCCAGUUGCUUCUGUCUUUUAUUGACAGACAUCAACUUAGUUUGAUUGUUGUGGGGUCAGAUGACCUAAAACUUGCAAACAGCGACACAGAGGGAAAAUUGUUCAGAGAUGAAAGUUGUAUAAAAGACUAUUUUGUUGUUCAGCUGUUGUUCAUGUUUCCAACAUGCCAUGCUAGUGACAUGGGAAUCUCUUCAAACAAUGCAAGUAAAGCAGUAAAACUUUCUGAUGGUGUUGGUGCACAUGAAUUAUCCAAGUAGGAGUGCCAAUAAAAUGUUAACGAGAGCUACAGCUUCUCUAACCUACCCACUUUUUCCCUGCUUUGCUUUGUCUUUGUGCUGCUUUUUGGAGCCUCUCUUUUGCACACCCUGCGAGUCUACAAAUUAUGGAUCCGACUACUGAACGCUUAAACUAACAUGUGGGACCAGAGCCGCCAUUUGGAUGUGAUUCUUGCUGAGAUUGGCAGGCCAGCUGUGGACCCUGGUGCUCACUGGGGGGAUGGAAUCAGUCUUGGAGAAGUUCCUAGUUCGGUCCGGUGGGAUGGCCACAUUAAUUUGGAUGAUUGGAAAAACAAUGGAGAUGUAAUGGUGAGACUUUAGGGUAGAUGAAAAUUAAAAGUCUUAUCAACUGAAAAAUAUUGUCACUAUCUGAACUGGGUCCCCUGUGUCAGCCUUGGCUGGCUGGCUCUCCCAGAUCUCCUGGAUGAUAUGUAAACAUGACGCUCUUUCCCAUCUCCUUCCCCAUCCUACAGAUACACACUCCCUGAUCUCACGUCUCACUCUAUCAUAAAGAGCAGAGCUGUCAGUGGCAGCAGCCCCAGGCUCCCUGUCUCCACUGUUUUCGUCUGGUUAUUGUCUUCUCUGGAUGGAUUUAUCUGAAAUGAAUUUUGUGGUGCUUCGGUACAAUAACAAAGUGUUCAUUCAUUCAUUCAUUAACUUUUAAGAUACCACACCAGUUACGCCUAACCUGAGGUGCUGUUGUUGCCUGUCAAGUACACACUUCCUCUAAGGGCAAUGACCUGCUGCACUGAAGGUUCACUGAACAGAAUGAACUGUUGCCUGCUGAAGAUGAAAUACAAUCUGUCUUUUGAAUCUAUUAAAACUAUUUACCUAAUUUGGAUUGUAUAUGACACAAUAUGAGUUAUGUCUCAUGUGAAGUACCUUCAGGAAAUGUUUUGAAUUUAGACUAUUUGAUUAAAAUUAAGUCAUUUUCUAAAACAUAUGAGAAUAUAACAGGUGUGUAUAUUCCAUAAAUGUGUUUUAUUGUUUUAUUUUGAAUGUGUUUUAGCUCAACUAGAAGGUGAAUUUGCGGAGAUGGAGAGCAGACUGCUGCAUCUGGAAACUCUGUGUUGUCAGUGUGAGCAACAGACUGUAAAAAACCAUCAUAUGAGUCAACUUGAAGAUUAUAAAAAGAAGAAAAGGAAGGAGGCGGAUUUACUGGAAGGUAAGCAGCAGUGUCUCUGACACAUCUGUUCUCUCUUUUUGUGUAGAAAUUAAAACCUGAAAUGAAAAUGAGUUGGCAUUGUAAAGAAAACAUUCCCC